rnacentral:rRNA from 1 species
ACAUGCCUACAACAUAACAUUAAUGCAUUGGAUCCCAUUAGAACUCUGCAAUUAAGUGUGCUUAGGCUAGAGUAGUACUAGGAUGGGUGACCACCCAUGAAGUCCUAGUGUUUUACAUGCC